rnacentral:lncRNA from 1 species
ACCACGGCGAGCAGACACAUUCUUCGAGAAUUCGAUAGCCGUGCCGCGCUUCAUCUUCGUAAGGAAACCCGCAUGGGGCAAAGCGUAGAGAAAACGAUGCACAUGUUUAUGUGCUGUUGUUCAGCACGAGUCAAGGCCAAGCAAAAAAACACCAGCAAGACAUGACGUAUACACAGUCAGGCCGCCGAUAAAUAAUUCCCUCACCUUCGAAAUGUGACCGUCCAUCUGCCGAACGGACACUAUUGUUUAUUACGAUGUGUCUCGAUGCUUUAGAUAUACCUAGCAACACGCGGUGGCCUUUCGAAUACCAACCUGGGCAGUCACGAUCAUUGCAAGGAUACAAUGCAAUUAUUGUUGACCGCGCACGAGAAUGCAAAGAGGACCUUUUGACAUCGUGUACAGCAUGAUGAAAGGGUGUCCCAUCAUGGCAAAGUCUUGCCUUUCUUUGUUGGUUUUUGUCACUUUGAGUGCUUCAUGCUCUUCAUAAAUUUGGUGGAUAAUCGAAGUUGAACAUUGGACGUCAUUCGAAUUUUAAAAUGUUUUAUUUUAAAGAUAAUCUCCACCAAAAAGUGCCCUCAUGGAUUUGCAUCCUCAAUCGAGUAUAGAAUGGUAUUUGAAGCCAGGUGAAAUUUAAGAGGAUAGAUCCAAGGACUACGACUCACCUUUUGUAAUAAUUCGCUCGAGAUAACUAUCGGAUUUCGGAAAGGCACUCCUUCAGUGGAGUUGAAAAUUUUUUCCAUUAUGCUUAUAAAUGAACUUUUACGUGCCAAACUGCCAACUAAAGCCUUUUUUUUUUAUUACAAUGAUCAAGGACCCAGUCAGCAUCGUUCCAUUGAACUCCGUUCUGAGAAGGGAUUCGCAGUCGAUACUUAAUUUGAUGGUGACGUGUGUGCCUGAUACCUGCCAGCAUUCCGCCAUCAUGAAACCGACAACUGGCUUCGGUAAGUCACAACGUUUUGAGGCAACUCUGCUUUAUCAGAAGUACUGCAAAUAUUGGCGUUUUAAUUGUGAAAACGAGUUUUCUAAAUGGAGUGGAAUAAUGCAGUCCAAGUUAAACUCAAACUUAACUUGUAAACAUGGAGAUUGGCAGGACUUCCGAGACAUGUUCCUAGUUUUUCGUGGUAAUCAAUUACACCGUUCUGCUGUCACAACGCAUUUGUGUGGGCGUGUGGAACUAAGCAAAAAUAGCAUGGGGAUUUCAGCUGAUCUGUUCAACGACCGGACAAUUACGCGUAUAGAGACAAUGGACAAAAAUUGAGAUACCACAAGAUUCCUCGUGACGGGCCAUCUUUUUUUGUUAAUGUGAAAAACGCUGGCGUGCAACUGCAUUGACUGGAAGGAAGAAAAAAAACAACCUACAGCUGUCUUCAGCGAACUAUGGAACAAAUGGAUUCGAUUAACUACUCUCCAAAAAGAAAACAUUAGCCCUUAGUCCGAAAGAUGGCAUUGCUACUUGACCUUGGAAGGUUUCAGUAAAAGAAUGUUAACCUGGUCAUAGCUAGUUCGUGCAAUGCCUUUCACCCUUAUUGGUUUAUCUUUUCAACAUCAAAUUGACAUUAACUUGAUCGCUGUUCCAUUAGCGAGCAAGAAAACCGUCGCACAUACUAACGCCAGAGUUGGGAUGACACAAUCCUUUUCCAGCCACGAUAAGCAGAGCUAAGCGGGUUCAGCCAUCUCGGCAGCAUCUCUGAUUCAUUUUUAAAACCCGGAUGCAAAAGUUGUACUUAAAAAAAGUAUAGGAAGCCAAUGAGGAAUUGAACAUCAAUCAUCCAGGUGACUAUUAUGACCAGUCUCAUUAGACUACAAUUUAAAAUCAAAUAGAAAUGUU